UACGUAGGUGGCUAGCGUUGUCCGGAUUUACUGGGCGUAAAGAGCGCGCAGGCGGUCGUUCAAGUCGAGUGUGAAAGCCCCCGGCUCAACUGGGGAGGGUCAUUCGAUACUGAUCGACUCGAAGGCAGGAGAGGGUAGUGGAAUUCCCGGUGUAGUGGUGAAAUGCGUAGAUAUCGGGAGGAACACCAGUGGCGAAGGCGACUACCUGGCCUGUUCUUGACGCUGAGGCGCGAAAGCUAGGGGAGCAAACGGG
rnacentral:rRNA from 1 species